GGUUAAGCGACUAAGCGUACACGGUGGAUGCCCUGGCAGUCAGAGGCGAUGAAGGACGUGCUAAUCUGCGAAAAGCGCCGGCGAGGUGAUAUGAACCCUUGACCCGUCGAUGUCCGAAUGGGGAAACCCAGUGUGUUCCGACACACUAUCGUUAACUGAAUACAUAGGUUAACGAGGCGAACCGGGGGAACUGAAACAUCUAAGUACCCCGAGGAAAAGAAAUCAACCGAGAUUCCCCCAGUAGCGGCGAGCGAACGGGGAGCAGCCCGGAGUCUGAAUCAGCUUGUGUGUUAGUGGAACGGUCUGGAAAGUCCGACGGUACAGGGUGAUAGUCCCGUACACGAAAAUGCACAUGCUGUGAACUCGAAGAGUAGGGCGGGACACGUGGUAUCCUGUCUGAAUAUGGGGGGACCAUCCUCCAAGGCUAAAUACUCCUGACUGACCGAUAGUGAACCAGUACCGUGAGGGAAAGGCGAAAAGAACCCCGGCGAGGGGAGUGAAAAAGAACCUGAAACCGUGUACGUACAAGCAGUGGGAGCCUCUUUAUGGGGUGACUGCGUACCUUUUGUAUAAUGGGUCAGCGACUUAUAUUCUGUAGCAAGGUUAACCGUAUAGGGGAGCCGAAGGGAAACCGAGUCUUAACUGGGCGUUAAGUUGCAGGGUAUAGACCCGAAACCCGGUGAUCUAGCCAUGGGCAGGUUGAAGGUUGGGUAACACUAACUGGAGGACCGAACCGACUAAUGUUGAAAAAUUAGCGGAUGACCUGUGGCUGGGGGUGAAAGGCCAAUCAAACCGGGAGAUAGCUGGUUCUCCCCGAAAGCUAUUUAGGUAGCGCCUCGUGAACUCAUCUUCGGGGGUAGAGCACUGUUUCGGCUAGGGGGCCAUCCCGGCUUACCAACCCGAUGCAAACUACGAAUACCGAAGAAUGUUAUCACGGGAGACACACGGCGGGUGCUAACGUCCGUCGUGAAGAGGGAAACAACCCAGACCGCCAGCUAAGGUCCCAAAGUCAUGGUUAAGUGGGAAACGAUGUGGGAAGGCACAGACAGCCAGGAUGUUGGCUUAGAAGCAGCCAUCAUUUAAAGAAAGCGUAAUAGCUCACUGGUCGAGUCGGCCUGCGCGGAAGAUGUAACGGGGCUAAACCAUGCACCGAAGCUGCGGCAGCGACACUAUGUGUUGUUGGGUAGGGGAGCGUUCUGUAAGCCGUUGAAGGUGUGCUGUGAGGCAUGCUGGAGGUAUCAGAAGUGCGAAUGCUGACAUAAGUAACGAUAAAGCGGGUGAAAAGCCCGCUCGCCGGAAGACCAAGGGUUCCUGUCCAACGUUAAUCGGGGCAGGGUGAGUCGACCCCUAAGGCGAGGCCGAAAGGCGUAGUCGAUGGGAAACAGGUUAAUAUUCCUGUACUUGGUGUUACUGCGAAGGGGGGACGGAGAAGGCUAUGUCAGCCGGGCGACGGUUGUCCCGGUUUAAGCAUGUAGGCGGAGGUUCCAGGUAAAUCCGGUACCUUUUAACGCUGAGGUGUGAUGACGAGGCACUACGGUGCUGAAGUGAUAAAUGCCCUGCUUCCAGGAAAAGCCUCUAAGCAUCAGGUAACACGAAAUCGUACCCCAAACCGACACAGGUGGUCAGGUAGAGAAUACCAAGGCGCUUGAGAGAACUCGGGUGAAGGAACUAGGCAAAAUGGUGCCGUAACUUCGGGAGAAGGCACGCUGAUGUGUAGGUGAAGCCCCUGCGGGCGGAGCUGAAAUCAGUCGAAGAUACCAGCUGGCUGCAACUGUUUAUUAAAAACACAGCACUGUGCAAACACGAAAGUGGACGUAUACGGUGUGACGCCUGCCCGGUGCCGGAAGGUUAAUUGAUGGGGUUAGCUGUAAGGCGAAGCUCUUGAUCGAAGCCCCGGUAAACGGCGGCCGUAACUAUAACGGUCCUAAGGUAGCGAAAUUCCUUGUCGGGUAAGUUCCGACCUGCACGAAUGGCGUAAUGAUGGCCAGGCUGUCUCCACCCGAGACUCAGUGAAAUUGAACUCGCUGUGAAGAUGCAGUGUACCCGCGGCAAGACGGAAAGACCCCGUGAACCUUUACUAUAGCUUGACACUGAACACUGGUCCUUGAUGUGUAGGAUAGGUGGGAGGCUUUGAAGCGUGGACGCCAGUCUGCGUGGAGCCAACCUUGAAAUACCACCCUUUAAUGGCUGGUGUUCUAACGUAGACCCGUAAUCCGGGUUGCGGACAGUGUCUGGUGGGUAGUUUGACUGGGGCGGUCUCCUCCCAAAGAGUAACGGAGGAGCACGAAGGUUGGCUAAUCCUGGUCGGACAUCAGGAGGUUAGUGCAAUGGCAUAAGCCAGCUUGACUGCGAGCGUGACGGCGCGAGCAGGUGCGAAAGCAGGUCAUAGUGAUCCGGUGGUUCUGAAUGGAAGGGCCAUCGCUCAACGGAUAAAAGGUACUCCGGGGAUAACAGGCUGAUACCGCCCAAGAGUUCAUAUCGACGGCGGUGUUUGGCACCUCGAUGUCGGCUCAUCACAUCCUGGGGCUGAAGUAGGUCCCAAGGGUAUGGCUGUUCGCCAUUUAAAGUGGUACGCGAGCUGGGUUUAGAACGUCGUGAGACAGUUCGGUCCCUAUCUGCCGUGGGCGCUGGAGAAUUGAGGGGGGCUGCUCCUAGUACGAGAGGACCGGAGUGGACGCAUCACUGGUGUUCGGGUUGUCAUGCCAAUGGCACUGCCCGGUAGCUAAAUGCGGAAGAGAUAAGUGCUGAAAGCAUCUAAGCACGAAACUUGCCCCGAGAUGAGUUCUCCCUGAGACUUUAAGUCUCCUGAAGGAACGUUGAAGACGACGACGUUGAUAGGUCGGGUGUGUAAGCGCAGCGAUGCGUUGAGCUAACCGAUACUAAUGAACCGUGAGGCUUAACCUU
rnacentral:rRNA from 1 species